rnacentral:rRNA from 1 species
AUUGCGGCUCCGGGUCACUCCCGGGGCCACGCCUGUCUGAGGGUCGGUUU